UUGCCCGGUGCACUCUUCUGCUGUCAGGCCAGCAUCAGUUCGGGCGGUCGGAUAAAGGCUUCGGGAAUGUAGCUCCUCUCGAGGAGUGUUAUAGCCCGUUGCGAAAUGCGGCCAGCUUGGACUGAGGUCCGCGCUUCGGCUAGGAUGCUGGCGUAAUGGUUGUAAGCGGCCCGUCUUGAAACACGGACCAAGGAGUCUAACAUCUGUGCGAGUGUUUGGGUGUCAAACCCGUACGCGUAAUGAAAGUGAACGGAGGCGGGAACCCCUCGGGGUGCACCGUCGACCGAUCCUGAUGUCUUCGGAUGGAUUUGAGUAAGAGCAUAGCUGUUGGGACCCGAAAGAUGGUGAACUAUGCCUGAAUAGGGUGAAGCCAGAGGAAACUCUGGUGGAGGCUCGCAGCGGUUCUGACGUGCAAAUCGAUCGUCAAAUUUGGGCAUAGGGGCGAAAGACUAAUCGAACUAUCUAGUAGCUGGUUCCUGCCGAAGUUUCCCUCAGGAUAGCAGUAACGUUUUCAGUUUUAUGAGGUAAAGCGAAUGAUUAGAGGCCUGGGGGUUGAAACAACCUUCACCUAUUCUCAAACUUUAAAUAUGUAAGAAGUCCUUGUUACUUAGUUGAACGUGGACAUUUGAAUGUAUCGUUACUAGUGGGCCAUUUUUGGUAAGCAGAACUGGCGAUGCGGGAUGAACCGAACGCGGAGUUAAGGUGCCGGAAUGCACGCUCAUCAGACACCACAAAAGGUGUUAGUUCAUCUAG
rnacentral:rRNA from 1 species